AGUGAACGCUGGCGGCGUGCUUAACACAUGCAAGUCGAACGAGAACGGGCUAUAGCUUGCUAUAGUUGUCAGCUAAGUGGCGCACGGGUGAGUAAUGUAUAGGUAAUAUGCCUCUUACUAAGGGAUAACAAAUGGAAACGUUUGCUAAUACCUUAUACUCCUUAUUAACAGAAGUUAAUAGGGGAAAGAUUUAUUGGUAAGAGAUUAGCCUGUAUUGUAUCAGUUAGUUGGUGGGGUAAUGGCUUACCAAGACUAUGACACAUAACUGGUUUGAGAGGAUGAUCAGUCACACUGGAACUGAGACACGGUCCAGACUCCUACGGGAGGCAGCAGUGGGGAAUAUUGCACAAUGGACGAAAGUCUGAUGCAGCAACGCCGCGUGGAGGAUGACACAUUUCGGUGCGUAAACUCCUUUUAUAUGAGAAGAUAAUGACGGUAUUAUAUGAAUAAGCACCGGCUAACUCCGUGCCAGCAGCCGCGGUAAGAC
rnacentral:rRNA from 1 species